UUGCAACCACUUAGGCUGACUGUGCUCUUCCUCACAGGGGCCCAGUGUGCAAUGGCCGCAAACAGCAGCCUCCCGGGCCAUUGCCUGUACAGGUUGCCCUAAGAAGCCGAGGAGACAACU
ensembl:snoRNA SNORA70 Small nucleolar RNA SNORA70